rnacentral:rRNA from 1 species
AGUGAACGCUGGCGGCAGGCCUAACACAUGCAAGUCGAACGGCAGCACGGCAGUAGCAAUACUGUGGUGGCGAGUGGCGGACGGGUGAGGAAUACAUCGGGAUCUACCCUGUUGUGGGGGAUAACGUAGGGAAACUUACGCUAAUACCGCAUAAGAACUGAGGUUGAAAGCGGCGGACCGCAAGGCGUCGCGCGAUUGGAUGAACCGAUGUCCGAUUAGCUAGUUGGCGGGUAAAGGCCCACCAAGGCGACGAUCGGUAGCUGGUCUGAGAGGACGACCAGCCACACUGGAACUGAGACACGGUCCAGACUCCUACGGGAGGCAGCAGUGGGAAUAUUGGACAAUGGGCGCAAGCCUGAUCCAGCCAUGCCGCGUGGGUGAAG